GAUGAAGAACGCAUCGAAAUGCGAUACUUGGUGUGAAUUGCAGAAUCCCGUGAACCAUCGAGUCUUUGAACGCAAGUUGCGCCCGAAGCCAUUAGGCCGAGGGCACGCCUGCCUGGGCGUCACACGUCGUUGCCCCCCCAUCUACUCCUUCGGGAUUGCGGGGGGCGGAUGAUGGCCUCCCGUGCGCCUCGUCGCGCGGUUGGCAUAAAUGCCAAGUCCUCGGCGACGCACGCCACGACAAUCGGUGGUUGCGAAACCUCGGUUGCCCGUCGUGUGCGGUCGUCGCGCAUCGAGGGCUCGAAAAAAUUGUCGGGCUCCGGCUCGGCUUUCAACGCGACCCCAGGUCAGGCGGGGUUACCCGCUGAAUUUAAGCAUAUCAAUAAGCGGAGGA
rnacentral:misc_RNA from 1 species